CCUACGGGUGGCAGCAGUGAGGAAUAUUGGUCAAUGGACGAGAGUCUGAACCAGCCAAGUAGCGUGAAGGAUGACUGCUCUAUGGGUUGUAAACUUCUUUUAUAUGGGAAUAAAACAGGGUAUGCAUACCCUCUUGUAUGUAUCAUAUGAAUAAGCAUCGGCUAACUCCGUGCCAGCAGCCGCGGUAAUACGGAGGAUGCGAGCGUUAUCCGGAUUUAUUGGGUUUAAAGGGUGCGUAGGUGGUUAAUUAAGUCAGCGGUGAAAGUUUGUGGCUCAACCAUAAAAUUGCCGUUGAAACUGGUUGACUUGAGUAUAUUUGAGGUAGGCGGAAUGCGUGGUGUAGCGGUGAAAUGCAUAGAGAUCACGCAGAACUCCGAUUGCGAAGGCAGCUUACUAAGCUAUAACUGACACUGAAGCACGAAAGCGUGGGGAUCAAACAGGAUUAGAUACCCUAGUAGUC
rnacentral:rRNA from 1 species